AUGGAAAAUAUUUAAGAAAUCAAUACAUCAAAGAGAUAACUGCACUCUCAUGUUUAUUGCAACACUAUUCACAAUAGCUGAGAUUUGGAAUUAACCUAAGUGUCGAUCAACAGAAG